UGAGAAGUAGCGAUAUCAUGUGGUUGCGUGUAUAUCAAAGUACCCAUGGAAUCAUGGAAAACGGUGGGAACGCAUAUGCCCCUUGUGUGGGCCAGGUUUGUAGAGAUGCGUCCGCAGCUUCGCCUUUCGGAUCCGGAAGCCAACUGUAAUAUCUCGGUAGUUGGUGAUUGGUCCUGGAGGCGAACAGAUCUUUCCACCAUCGUAGUUCCUGGAAUAUCUCUUUGUUGAGUUUCCAAUCGCUGUUGUCUCGCCAGUGACGCGAGAACCAGUCCACAGUCAGAUUGGAGAUUCCCGGCAGAUAUUCCGCCUGUAGCGUGAUGUUCCGUGCUAGGCAAAAUCUGUAGAUGUCUUUUUGUGGCUUCUGUCAGAGCUCGUGAUCUGGCUCCGCCCAG